rnacentral:rRNA from 1 species
AUGCACACCUCAAGAACGAUACUGCCAUGCUUUUGCACACAUAUAUUCAGAAAAGAGAGAGAUGAAAUUUGCAUCAAGAACCGUUUGUUACCUUCGGAACUGCACCUGGACAAUGUCAGCCUUGGCCUUGGCGACCCGGAGGAAGGCGGCCUCGGUCAUCUCCAGGUGCUCCUUGGGGAAGUUGCACCAGCCGCCGUAGUCGUCGGCAAGGCCGAAGUUGGGGGCGCAGAAGUCGGUCGCCGUCACCACGACGGUGGGGCUGCCCCGCAGGCAAUAGAGGACGUUGUUCACGCACCGGAGCUCGUAGCAGCCGCCGCAGGCGCUGCCACGCCCGAACAGCGCGCCGCUCAGGCCGGCCGUGUACCUCCCGUACCUGAAUAUGUCCAGGUCCCCGUACCCGCAAGCGCCGCCACCUUUGGAGUUUCAAGCAGCCAUUGCAUCAGACAACAACAUUUUCAGUUUUUAUGCAACAUUAUCCCAGAGCUGACACUGAGCACAGGAUGCUAUUAA